GGAGUUAGCCGGUGCUUCUUCUGUGAGUGAUGUCCUUCCUGCCGGCUAUUAACCCGCAGGCCUUCUUCCUCACUGAAAGUGCUUUACAACCCGAAGGCCUUCUUCACACACGCGGCAUGGCUGGAUCAGGGUUGCCCCCAUUGUCCAAUAUUCCCCACUGCUGCCUCCCGUAGGAGUCUGGGCCGUGUCUCAGUCCCAGUGUGGCUGAUCAUCCUCUCAGACCAGCUACGGAUCGUCGCCUUGGUGAGCCGUUACCUCACCAACCAGCUAAUCCGACAUAGGCUCAUCCGAUAGCGCGAGGCCCGAAGGUCCCCCGCUUUCCCCCGUAGGGCGUAUGCGGUAUUAGCCUGGGUUUCCCCAGGUUAUCCCCCACUACCGGGCAGAUUCCUAUGCAUUACUCACCCGUCCGCCGCUCGCCACCAGGGAGCAAUCUCCCCGUGCUGCCGCUCGACUUGCAUGUGUUAGGCCUGCCGCCAGCGUUCAAUCUGAACCAAGAUCAAAUUCUGA
rnacentral:rRNA from 1 species